rnacentral:rRNA from 1 species
AUACGUAGGGGGCAAGCGUUAUCCGGAUUUACUGGGUGUAAAGGCAGCGUAGACGGCAAAGCAAGUCUGAAGUGAAAGCCCCGGGCUCAACCCGGGAAUUGCUUUGGAAACUGUUUAGCUGGAGUGCAGGAGAGGUAAGCGGAAUUCCUAGUGUAGCGGUGAAAUGCGUAGAUAUUAGGAGGAACACCGGCGGCGAAGGCGGCUUACUGGACUGUAACUGACGUUGAGGCUCGAAAGCGUGGGGAGCAAACAGGAUUAGAUACCCUGGUAGUCCACGUCGUAAACGAUGAUUACUAGGUGUUGGUUGUCAUAGACAAUCGGUGCCGCAGCAAACGCAAUAAGUAAUCCACCUGGGGAGUACGUUCGCAAGAAUGAAACUCAAAGGAAUUGACGGGG